UUCACUAAAGAAAACUUCUCUCCUUUUUUUAUUAAAUGUUUUUCUACCCUUUCAAUUGCGUUGUCAUUAAUCUUUGAACUGUUUUGUCUUUUAAUCUUUCAGUGACAGUGCUUAUCCCAUUGCUUUUCUUAAAUUAUUACUAAAAUCCUUGUUGUUUUUGAAUUAAUUUUUUCCGAAAUAAAUAGAUAGAUUUAACUGGGAAGGAUUGCUAAAGUGGAGCUUUGCUCAGUCCUCUUGUCUUCAUAAUCAGAAUACUCCUCUACCUCUACGGUAAAAAAAUGAUCAUUAGAUCCCACGAGGCAAAAGAGUCUGAGGGUAAGAGCGAUUUGUACCAAUCUGAGAGAGAUUGUGGAGUGGCGAAAGGAUAAUUAUUUUUGGAAAUGGACAUGGGGGGACUUUGAGGAAUCAACAACAAUUUAAUGGGAGACAGAUAAAUGGGAUUUUAGAAAACUGAAGUUUGACAGAGGAGAAGAAGGAGAACAAGAAAAAAAAAAUAUAAAGAACAAUAAAAAAGAAAUCAUGAAAACUAAAAGGGUUAUUACGGGUGUGUGAAUAAUGGUUGUUUCUGACAUAUUAGUUAAUAAUUGAUACUAUUUCUAUCCUUGCUGACUCCGGGCAGACUGCCUCAUCAUGCAAUCUUAAGUAAUUUUCGAAUUGGCAUCAAAGUCAACCCUUGCAGUUUUGACUGAUACAAGUCAUCUAUUAUCAGAUGUUGCAGCAUUUGCAAUCUCAUUAAUUUCACUCUGGGUGUUAGGAUGGGAGGCAACUCCAUGUCAGUCUUAUAGGUUUUUCAGGAUUAAGAUACUUGGCGCACUAAUUUCCAUUCAAAUGAUAUGGCUUCUUGCUGGGAUCCUAGUCUAUGAAGCCAUUGCUAGACUUAUCAAUGAAACAGGAUCUUGAUCUUAGAAAGCCAAGAGUGUGCAAACCUCCUAAAAAGAUAUGAAUUUGAAGUAACAAGAAAGGAAGUUCUGAGAAAAGCUGAUUUCUAGAUAUGAGAAUCAGCUCAAUAGGUUCUAUGAGUUCGUGGAUCUAAUUCUAGAUUCACCACCUUCAUAGUCUUUGCAAAGGGUUUCAUCUUUUAAUGUUAGCUUCAAGGUCAAGAUGUAUAAAUCAGCUUUUUGGGCUCGUCUUUUGUGCUAUGCUUUCACCUUGGGUCAAAAAGAGAUAGUGGACUUCAUGGACCUUUUAUUGUUCCGGCAUCAAAAGUUUUGAAUAAAUUAUUUGAGAUAGAAUUUUGAAGGCAACUCUUGGAACAGAUGUUGUACUUGGCUCGAUAGUAAGACUCCAUCACUUCAUGGAUGUAUUUUAAUUUUUAAUAUAAUUCUAUUAAAUAGAAGUCCUACAAGAAGCACACCUAUGGAUAUACUAAGAGCUAUGGUCAACAUCCAUACAUAGGAAGUGGAUAUGUUCUGCUACAUCAUGUCAUGGGAGAAACUGAUGGGAAUGUGGAAUUUGAUCGUAUCCAUCCCAUUGCUAGCUUGAUGUAUGAAUUGUGCAUCAAAGAAAUUACAAUCUGUAAAUUUUGUAAGAUCCCUUUCCUUUUAUGCUACACAAUCUAAUAUUGACCUGUUAUUUUUCCCUUUGAAAGAAAUUGGAGUAGUUAAUGUAAGAUUGAUAAUUCUUAUGUAAUUUUGGGCUAAAAAACUAAUCAAAUACAAUUGUAAAGUAGUUUUUACUCACAACAUAAAAUUCUAGAAAAUAAGAAGGGUUCCAUGUGCUCUAUUAUUUUAACUGGUAAACUUUAUCCAAGCUUUUGCAAUCUAAGAUUGAGGGUGCCCCCAGUUCCACCUUUAUUUUCACCUUUGUUGCAAAAGGUUAAUAUAUAGCUCACAUGUAUCCUUUAGGACAUUCUUGCUUCCAAUUAGUUAUUUUAGUAAUAUUCAUUUGUUGUUGCUAAUUGCACCCAUAGUUGUUCCUCUAAAAUUCAUUGGUCACUUGCAUAUUAGUUUAUAAGGUCUUUCUUUCAUAGCCAUGAUGGUUUAGAAUUUAUAAUUAUUGCAGGUGUGUUAAAGUGGGAUAGGCAUAGUAUCCUUAUCUAUACCUGGUUAGUUAAUAUAAUCUAUUUUUCUUUUCCCUUUUUUUCUUUUUCUUUCCCCCUUUUCUCAUUUUAUUUUUUUCAGCCAUAAUAAAAUUAAUAGUAGAAACCGACUAAGUGGCAAUGUAAGGACACCCAUUCACUUUUGUACCCCUAACCCAACUUCAGCUAAUCUUAUUGUUAUUCUACAUGUUUACCAUUCUUGUUUUCAAUGGUAAACUUUUAUAUGUUCGUUGAUAUGGUUGCACUAAAAGUAAGUAACGUCAAAUCACAUUUUGGCCCCUGGUCGAUGUUGAAUCUUAAGAGUUAUUAAUCUUAUUUUGAUGGUUACAAACAAUUAAGAAUGACUAAUUUUAUGUUUAAGUGUUUGUGUAAGGAAGGAAAAUUGGUUCUUCUAAAUCAGGGCAGAUUCACGCCCAUGAAACAUCAGUUCCCAGCUAUGAAGAAUUCUUGCCUCAAACAGUAAAAAGGACAGUAGCCUUCACGGCAUCCUUCCCAGUUGUGGAAACAAGGAUUCACGGCCGUGAAGAAAUGUUCACGCCCAUGAAAAUUGCCUUCCUUCCAAAACUUGAAGAAAUUACAAAAGAUGUCAUGGCCAACAUUCCCAGCCUUGAAGAUGGAAAUUCACGGCUGUUUUCAAAUCCUCCCAGCCGUUAAGAAAAAGUUCAUGCUCGUGAAGAAUUGCAACUCUUUAAAACUUCAAGAAAUCAUAGUAGAGUUCACGGAUAAAGUUUCCAACCGUGAAACCUGCAUUCCCAUGAAACCUGAGUUCCCAGCCGUGAAGAAUUGUUCAUUGCCAUGAUGAGUUCCAGUUUUUCGAAUCUAUUUUUCAUGUUGAUGCUUCACGGCCGUGAAGAAUUCUUCCCACCCGUGAAGCUGCAUUUAUGAAGAUUGUUGAAACAAUUAUGUUUGCAUUUAAUGUGGGUGCAAUGUCUCUAUUUCA